rnacentral:misc_RNA from 1 species
UGGUUCUGGCAUCGAUGAAGAACGCAGCGAAAUGCGAUAAGUAAUGUGAAUUGCAGAAUUUAGUGAAUCAUCGAAUCUUUGAACGCACAUUGCGCCCUUUGGUAUUCCGAGGGGCAUGCCUGUUCGAGCGUCAUUACAACCCUCAAGCUCAGCUUGGUAUUCAGCACUGUCUAUAUGGCAGGCUGCAAAAGCAGUGGCGGUCAUAGCCGGCUCCAAGCGUAGUAAAAUAUUUCGCUCCGGAGUCCGGCUACUGACCUGCUAACCGAUCAUUCUUUUCAGGUUGACCUCGGAUCAGGUAGGGAUACCCGCUGA